AUGCAAGGCUUGAAUCUUUGUAGAUCUACAUUUUUGUUACGGUUUUGAAAAUAUUUUUUAGGUUUUCAAAUUCUUUGAAAGAAACUGUUUGAAACCUUGAGGAUCUACAUGGAUUCGUCCUUAUUGAUGCUUUUUAAGAAAGAACGGUGGAGUUAUAUGUUUACCUGUGAUUUAAUCGGAGAUUUCGAACAAGAUUUUUUAGAAAUCUUCGAUUUGAUUCUGUUUGUUGAUUUUUGACUUGAAACCGAAAAUAAAUCGGUGUUUCUGGCUGGUUUGAUUCCUUC
rnacentral:lncRNA from 1 species